rnacentral:rRNA from 1 species
AACGCUGGCGGCAUGCCUUACACAUGCAAGUCGAACGGCAGCAUGGAGGAGCUUGCUCCUCUGAUGGCGAGUGGCGAACGGGUGAGUAAAGCAUCGGAACGUACCGUGUAGUGGGGGAUAACGUAGCGAAAGUUACGCUAAUACCGCAUACGCACUGAGGUGGAAAGCAGGGGAUCGCAAGACCUUGCGCUAUACGAGCGGCCGAUGUCAGAUUAGCUAGUUGGUAGGGUAAAGGCCUACCAAGGCGACGAUCUGUAGCGGGGUCUGAGAGGAUGAUCCGCCACACUGGGACUGAGACACGGCCCAGACUCCUACGGGAGGCAGCAGUGGGGAAUUUUGGACAAUGGGGGAAACCCUGAUCCAGCCAUGCCGCGUGAGUGAAGAAGGCCUUCGGGUUGUAAAGCUCUUUCGGCUGGGAAGAAAUCGCACAGGCUAAUACUCUGUGUGGAUGACGGUACCAGCAUAAGAAGCACCGGCUAACUACGUG